AAUAGAGCCUCUUUUAAGGGUAGUUUACGUAGAACCCCUUUUGGUAUUGGUGAAGAAUGCCAACACGCAUUGUAUACUGUGGGAUGUGUUGUAGUGGAGACCCCACCUUAUUCUUUUUAACGUUAUGAUUUGGGGGUUUUUGUACAUUUCUAUUUCUCCCAAUUUCUUCGGGCGAUUUCUUUGAGAAUAAAUUUGCCCUAUUUUUGAUUGAUCCCUUCUGUUUGUGGACGUCAAAGAUGGAGCCAGCGACACCGACGAGUCGUCUUUUUGUCUCGUCUUCUUCCGCUAAAGGAGAUCUCAUUAAAGAACCAUCUCGUUGUUCUUUGUUGUUGUAUAUCUUAUGUAAUUGGUAAUUAAGAUAUUGAUGAAGGUAGAAUGGUAACUUCUGAAGCAUAAAAGAUUUGUACAAAAAUGUGAGGUUUCUUUGGUACUAGGCUGACCUCUACUCUACUACCCUGGUAGGAUUUGAUCAUACUGGUCGUGGCAGAGUCUAUAAGAGAAAGGUACAGAAUAAUGACUUUUACUUUUUACCUUAAUUGAGCUCAUUUUCAAUCUCAGUUUAUGAGAUAGUGAAUUUUUAUGCUUUGAGUUUGUUAUUUCAUUUGGGUAUUAACAUCCAACAAAGAAUUAAUUUUAAAUACAACCACUCUUACAUUGCACACCAAAUAUUUGAAAUCUUAUGUACGAAAGUAAUGACCAUUUAACUUUAACAAAGUAUCUUAUAUACUAUUAGUGGUAGUUUUAUGUUGGAAAUAAAUUGUGAUAUAUAAUAUGAAUGGGCUACUGCUUCCAUUAUCAAUUAGUUUUGAGAUGAAAACUCAUUUUUCUUAUUCCAAAUUCUAACAUAUACAACUUACAAUUUUGAUUUGUGGAUACUAUAAUAGAAAUUGUGUUUUUUUUUUCUUUUCAACAUUUAAGACUAGGACUUUGAUACUUGUAAAUUUGGUUUGUGGUAGGUCCAAAUGCUAUUAUUUUUGUCUGUUCAUUGAUCUUUCAAUAUGAAUUAAGUGUCUAAGAUGAUGGACAAUAUUGGUUUGAAACACCUUGAGGUGAGGGGCAUAUGAAGCAUAUUCCAGAUAUUUGAUGAAAAUGUUGAUUCAGUGAACAACAAAGUUGAUAUAUUGUUGGAGGCAUUAAUUGCGAGCGUAGUUUCAUGUUUCAUCAAAAGUGUGCAUCUCGAACUUGAAUAAGGAACAAAAGAAUUACGUGAAAAGAGAUGCUUUUGGCCGUAAAAAUUGAAUGUUGGAGGAUGGAAACUGUUUGGUUGAACCGUUUUGUUGAAAAAAAUUUAGAAUUGGUUGGCCAAUUUUCUAAAUUGCUCAUGAGAUAGCGCUGACUUUUCUAUUUGAAUUCUAGUUUGUUUUGGCCACUGUUCAUUUCUAUCAGUAUAGGUUAGAAUUCUUUUUGUAUAGUUUCUUCAUUUACAAACUUUGGUGAGAUAAGGAUUCAUUCUACUUCCUUUUGAAUAUAUAUGUGAUUAUGUAUUUUUGAAUUUAAGCUGGAUUAGUUGAUUGUAUUGGCCUUUUCUUUUGUUUCA